UACGUAGGGGGCAAGCGUUGUCCGGAUUUACUGGGCGUAAAGAGCGCGCAGGCGGUUGAUUAAGUCGAAUGUGAAAGCCCCCGGCUCAACUGGGGAGGGUCAUUCGAUACUGAUCGACUUGAAGGCAGGAGAGGGAAGUGGAAUUCCGGGUGUAGUGGUGAAAUGCGUAGAUAUCCGGAGGAACACCAGUGGCGAAGGCGACUGCCUGGCCUGUUCUUGACGCUGAGGCGCGAAAGCGGGGGGAGCAAACGGG
rnacentral:rRNA from 1 species